CCUACGGGAUGCAGCAGUGAGGAAUAUUGGUCAAUGGACGAGAGUCUGAACCAGCCAAGUAGCGUGAAGGAUGACUGCCCUAUGGGUUGUAAACUUCUUUUAUAUGGGAAUAAAAUGUUCCACGUGUGGGAUUUUGUAUGUACCAUAUGAAUAAGGAUCGGCUAACUCCGUGCCAGCAGCCGCGGUAAUACGGAGGAUCCGAGCGUUAUCCGGAUUUAUUGGGUUUAAAGGGAGCGUAGGGGGAUUGUUAAGUCAGUUGGGAAAGUUUGCGGCUCAACCGUAAAAUUGCAGUUGAAACUGGCAGUCUUGAGUACAGUAGAGGUGGGCGGAAUUCGUGGUGUAGCGGUGAAAUGCUUAGAUAUCACGAAGAACUCCGAUUGCGAAGGCAGCUCACUGGACUGCAACUGACACUGAGGCUCGAAAGUGUGGGUAUCAAACAGGAGUAGAUACCCCUGUAGUC
rnacentral:rRNA from 1 species